rnacentral:rRNA from 1 species
AGAGUUUGAUCAUGGCUCAGGACGAACGCUGGCGGCGUGCAUAAUACAUGCAAGUAGAACGCUGAAGAGAGGAGCUUGCUCUUCUUGGAUGAGUUGCGAACGGGUGAGUAACGCGUAGGUAACCUGCCUUGUAGCGGGGGAUAACUAUUGGAAACGAUAGCUAAUACCGCAUAACAAUGGAUGACACAUGUCAUUUAUUUGAAAGGGGCAAUUGCUCCACUACAAGAUGGACCUGCGUUGUAUUAGCUAGUAGGUGAGGUAAUGGCUCACCUAGGCGACGAUACAUAGCCGACCUGAGAGGGUGAUCGGCCACACUGGGACUGAGACACGGCCCAGACUCCUACGGGAGGCAGCAGUAGGGAAUCUUCGGCAAUGGGGGCAACCCUGACCGAGCAACGCCGCGUGAGUGAAGAAGGUUUUCGGAUCGUAAAGCUCUGUUGUAAGUCAAGAACGGGUGUGAGAGUGGAAAGUUCACACUGUGACGGUAGCUUACCAGAAAGGGACGGCUAACUACGUGCCAGCAGCCGCGGUAAUACGUAGGUCCCGAGCGUUGUCCGGAUUUAUUGGGCGUAAAGCGAGCGCAGGCGGUUUGAUAAGUCUGAAGUUAAAGGCUGUGGCUCAACCAUAGUUCGCUUUGGAAACUGUCAAACUUGAGUGCAGAAGGGGAGAGUGGAAUUCCAUGUGUAGCGGUGAAAUGCGUAGAUAUAUGGAGGAACACCGGUGGCGAAAGCGGCUCUCUGGUCUGUAGCUGACGCUGAGGCUCGAAAGCGUGGGGAGCGAACAGGAUUAGAUACCCUGGUAGUCCACGCCGUAAACGAUGAGUGCUAGGUGUUGGAUCCUUUCCGGGAUUCAGUGCCGCAGCU